rnacentral:rRNA from 1 species
CCUACGGUAGGCAGCAGUGAGGCAUAUUGGUCAAUGGACGCAAGUCUGAACCAGCCAUGCCGCGUGCAGGAAGACGGCUCUAUGAGUUGUAAACUGCUUUUGUACGCGGGUAAACGCAGAUACGCGUAUCUGUCUGAAAGUAUCGUACGAAUAAGGAUCGGCUAACUCCGUGCCAGCAGCCGCGGUAAUACGGAGGAUUCAAGCGUUAUCCGGAUUUAUUGGGUUUAAAGGGUGCGUAGGCGGUCGGAUAAGUUAGAGGUGAAAUCCCGAGGCUCAACUUCGGAAUUGCCUCUGAUACUGGUCGGCUAGAGAGUAGUUGCGGUAGGCGGAAUGUAUGGUGUAGCGGUGAAAUGCUUAGAGAGCAUACAGAACACCGAUUGCGAAGGCAGCUUACCAAGCUACUUCUGACGUUGAGGCACGAAAGCGUGGGGAGCAAACAGGAUUAGAUACCCCGGUAGUC